CGUGACUUUACGAAUUGAGAUCAAUAAUAUUGAACAUCUGUGAAAUAUAUUUUGGAAAAUAUAUUAUUUAUUUUAAAGAAAUUAACACAGAUUAUCACAGAUCUUAGUAAGAUUUGCUGGGCUAUCCUUAAAAAUAUACCAAAUUCGUAGAAUGUUUUGUCAGCAUACUUUGGACUUCAUGGAUGGAUGUGUAUGGAUUAGUCGCGAACACUUGCCACAUAUUGGUGCACAAAACAAAGAAAACGUUUUGAAGUGAGUGGUGACAAUUAUCAAUUGGUCCAACGCCUACAACGUACAAAUGGACUCACGUGGAAAAUUUAAUUAAUUACAAACUCAAACAAAUUUGCAUAAGGUUAUAUUUUUAUUGAUGGUAACUUCGAAAGCUGACAGCGGUGAAAUCUAAAAUUACAGCGGCGGUUUUGAAAAACGUAAAUAUGUAAGGUUUCCUAAAUAAAAUGUAUUUAGAAAUGUUGAGAAAUAUAUCAAAGCAUAGAUAUACUUCAAGCAGUGUCGAAUCGAAGGUAGCUUAUUAAAAACAAUUUUGAUUUCCAAAUCUAUUCAAAAACAAGAAAAAACUUGAACUUCCAAAGCUAUAAUACACUUCACAAAUAAAAAAUGUUCCAUACAAGAACUUGAAUUUGAUCGGUGAGCUAGUACGGCUGCUAUACGCUAUACUGGACCGAUCUGAACCAUUUCUUCGGGGAUAACGUUAUUUUAGAUAAUGAUCCAUGUAGUAAUCUUGCCAAAUAAAAGAGUUUUCAUAUAAGAAA